GGGGGAAGUGAUCGUGGGGCCGACAGUUUCUAGGCCAAAGCAAAGGGCGGGUGCAAGGCUGCCUCCUGAGGCUCUCCUUACUUGCAAUUCCUUCCGUUUUACUGAAUUGGGAGUCUCGACCUCCUCCAGCACAGUAUUGAAUUUCUUAGGAUGCACCACAGAUUGUCCUACCUACAAACCAAGAUCCAGGGUCUGCUGAGGGGAAGAGUCAUACAUGAGGCCCUUCAACAGCCCAACUUCAAAAGUUUAUUUCCAUUAACCAUCCAUUGACACCAUACAAUGUUAAACUCUCUGAAUUGUGCUUGGCAACAACAUGAAGAUCAUUUUGCUGCCAGAACAAUCUCAAUGGAAACAAAUCAGGCCAUCCCACUCCAGAGCUUAAUGACCUUAGUGGGCUCACAAUAGCCUACAAGGUAUUCCAAAACCUGAGCAUAGCUUCCAAAAACCUCAAAGUCUUGGAUCCUGCCAGCCCCUCCUCCAGCCACGUCAACCACCAGUCCCCCAUCGGCACCCUGCUCUCCAGCCUCAGUAAAAUAAUUGCACGUUCCCCCCAACGCCUUAGCCUUUCAUCAGACUACAGAUCCCUACACACACACACACACACACACACACACACACACACACUCUCACACACACACUCACACACUUACCCUCAAGCAGCUUCCCUGACCCAACCUAUGCUUUCAACAAAAAAUUUAUGGACCACUCACUGUACACUGUGACCAUGAGUGUAACAUAUUUAAAUCAAAUAAUGUAAUACACUAUAUUAAUAGAGUGCAGGGAGAUGGGGGACCUCAUGAUCAACUCAUAGAUGUAGGGGAAAGGGAAGCUUCUGAGAAAAUCCAACACCAUUUCAUGAAAACAAACUCAACAAAAUAGGAAUAGAAGGGAACUUCUUCAACCUGAUAAAGGGCAUCUAUGAAAAACCCACAGAUAAUACCAUUCAUAACAGUGAAAGACUGGGUGCUUUACCCCUAGCAUCAAGAAGAAGACAAGAAUGUUGUUCUUUAUGAUCUCACCUUUAACAGGACCCUAAUCAACAAAACAAAGAAACAAGCAAAAUAUAACCAAAGACACUGAAAUAGAGAACAGGC